GCGCGAAGUUUGGGACUGGUGA
rnacentral:miRNA from 1 species